rnacentral:rRNA from 1 species
CGAGCUUGAUCCUGGCUCAGAACGAAUGCUGGCGGCAGGCCUAACACAUGCAAGUCGAGCGGACAACGUUCAAACGUUGUUAGCGGCGAACGGGUGAGUAAUACGUGAGAAUCUACCCAUCCCAACGUGAUAACAUAGUCAACACCAUGUCAAUAACGUAUGAUUCCUGCAACAGGUAAAGAUUUUAUCGGGGAUGGAUGAGCUCACGCUAGAUUAGCUAGUUGGUGAGAUAAAAGCCCACCAAGGCCAAGAUCUAUAGCUGGUCUGGAAGGAUGGACAGCCACAUUGGGACUGAGACAAGGCCCAACCCUCUAAGGAGGGCAGCAGUGAGGAAUAUUGGACAAUGGGCGUAAGCCUGAUCCAGCCAUGCCGCAUGAGUGAUUGAAGGUCCAACGGACUGUAAAACUCUUUUCUCCAGAGAUCAUAAAUGAUAGUAUCUGGUGAUAUAAGCUCCGGCCAACUUCGUGCCAGCAGCCGCGGUAAUACGAGGGGAGCGAGUAUUGUUCGGUUUUAUUGGGCGUAAAGGGUGUCCAGGUUGCUAAGUAAGUUAACAACAAAAUCUUGAGAUUCAACCUCAUAACGUUCGGUUAAUACUGCUAAGCUCGAGCUUGGAUAGAGACAAACGGAAUUCCAAGUGUAGAGGUGAAAUUCGUUGAUACUUGGAGGAACACCAGAGGCGAAGGCGGUUUGUCAUACCAAGCUGACACUGAAGACACGAAAGCAUGGGGAGCAAACAGGAUUAGAUACCCUGGUAGUCCAUGCCCUAAACGUUGAGUGCUAACAGUUCGAUCAAGCCACAUGCUAUGAUCCAGGAUUGUACAGCUAACGCGUUAAGCACUCCGCCUGGGUAUUACGACCGCAAGGUUAAAACUCAAAGGAAUUGACAGAGAUCCGCACAAGCGGUGGAGCAUGUGGUUUAAUUCGAAGCUACACGAAGAACCUUACCAGCCCUUGACAUUUUAGGUUCGAACACGUUCAUCCGUGUUCACGUUCAUCUUGGAAACAAGAUGCCAACGUCCAUACUUCCGGCAUGAAACACCGGUAAGAUUCAACCUUCAACAGGUGCUGCAUGGCUGUUGUCAGCUCGUGUCGUGAGAUGUAUGGUUAAGUCCUAAAACGAGCAUAACCCUUGUCCUUAGUUGCUUAAGAUCGGGGCAAAGCCCAAGAUUAGUUCUCUAAGGAUACUGCCAAUGACAAAUUGGAGGAAGAAAAGGAUAACAACAAGUCAUCAUGGCCCUUAUGGGCUGGGCCACACACGUGCUACAAUGGUGGUUACAAAGAGCCGCAACGUUGUGAGACCGAGCAAAUCUCCAAAGACCAUCUCAGUCCGGAUUGUACUCUGCAACCCGAGUACAUGAAGUAGGAAUCGCUAGUAAUCGUGGAUCAGCAUGCCACGGUGAAUACGUUCCCGGAUCUUGUACACACCGCCCGUCACACCAUGGGAAUUUAUAUCGAUCGAAGCAACCACCUUCUUGGUUGCGAGAUCCAGAUAAACGACCGAGGUGAAGUCGUAACAAGGUAGCCGUAGGUGAACCUGUGGCUGAAAACAAC